GACAGAGGUCCCAAGCGUUAGGCGGAAUCACUGGGCUUAAAGCGUGUGUAGGCGGAUUUGUAAGUACCUUGUGAAAUCCCACGGCUCAACCGUGGAACUGCUUGGUAUACUGCUUAUCUUGGGUCGUCUAGGGGCGAGCGGAACAAACGGUGGAGCGGUGAAAUGCGUAGAUAUCGUUUGGAACGCCAAUGGUGAAAACAGCUCGCUGGGGACGUACCGACGCUGAUACACGAAAGCCAGGGGAGCGAACGGG
rnacentral:rRNA from 1 species